rnacentral:rRNA from 1 species
UACGUAGGGGGCAAGCGUUGUCCGGAAUUAUUGGGCGUAAAGAGCGCGUAGGCGGUCCGAUAAGUCGGCUGUGAAAGUCAGGGGCUCAACCCUUGAAAGCCGGCCGAUACUGUCGGACUAGAGUCCGGAAGAGGCAAGUGGAAUUCCCGGUGUAGCGGUGAAAUGCGCAGAUAUCGGGAGGAACACCAAUGGCGAAGGCAGCUUGCUGGACGGUACUGACGCUGAGGCGCGAAAGCUAGGGGAGCAAACGGG